UCGUCGCCAAAGCUUGUUGUGACGAUCCCGAAGUUUAUAUGAACGCAACCAGUCUUAUAGUUUAUAACGGAUUCCCCGGGGAAAAUCACUACGUAGAAACAAAGGAUGGAUUCAUACUGAACAUCCAGCGAAUCCCGCACGGUCGGUUUGCAACAAAAGCAACAAAGGGUGUGGUGGUGGUCCAACACGGACUGACCGGGGCGUCCGACGACUUCCUAAUCAAUCUGAUUCCCGGAAGUCUGGGCUUCGUGCUGGCAGACGCCGGAUAUGACGUCUGGCUGUCCAACAGCAGGGGCAACGUCUACUCAAUGACACACAAAAAGUACACCCCCUCGCAAGACGAGUUUUGGGAUUGGAGUUGGCAGGAAAUGGCGGAAUACGACCUUCCCGCCGUUAUCCACUACGUCCUCAAUGCAACCAACGCGACAACGGUCUACUACAUCGGUCAUUCCCAGGGGACGAUGAUCGCUAACGCCCAGUUCAGCGUGGACAAAGACCUAGCCUCCAAGAUCAAACUGUUCAUAUCCAUGGCCCCGAUCGCCAAAGUCACGCACGUUAGAGGCCUCCUUGGAUUCAUCAACCCGUACGUUACACAGAAAGAAGCAGAACUGGUGCUAGGAAAGAAAGCCUUCGAUCAAAACUCCACCCUGACAAAAUGGUACGCCGACACGUUCUGUACCUUUCUGCCUGCACAGUAUAUAUGUAACGGACUAUCCUCCAUUGUCAUGGGCUGGGACAGAACAAAUCUCAACUGGACAAGAAUCCCCGUUUUCACGGCUCAUUCAAAUGAAGGGGCAUCUGCCAAAGACAUCAUCCAUUUCCUACAAGGUAUCAAAGCUGAUAAAUUUCAGAAAUACGACUAUGGACCUGAUGACGACGCCUCCAGAAUAUCACCCACAAAACAUGGCGGUCCCAGUGGCCAUGUUCUAUGGGGAUAACGAUUUCUUGGCAGACAGAACUGACGUGCAGUAUCUACUGGACAAUUUACCUAACAUUGUUCAUCAGAAGGAGCUCCCAAACUGGAAUCAUGUGGACUUUAUCAUUGGAAAAGACGCCCAUCAACUUCUUUACACAGACAUUUUAAAUAUCAUGUCCAAAUACCAGUGAUUAUUAAAACUUCAAGCUUUAUUGUGCC
rnacentral:misc_RNA from 1 species